GAUGAACGCUGGCGGCGUGCCUAAUACAUGCAAGUCGAGCGAACGGACGAGAAGCUUGCUUCUCUGAUGUUAGCGGCGGACGUGUGAGUAACACGUGUAUAACCUACCUGUAAUACUGGUAUAACUUCGGGAAACCGGAGCUAAUACCGGAUAAGAUCUUGAACCGCAUGGGGCAAUAGUGAAAUACGGUCUUGCGGGCAGGUAUAGAUGGAUCCGAGCUGCAUUGGCUAGUUGGUAAGGUAAAGGGUUACGAAGGGAAGUAUGCAUAAGCGAACUGACAGAGUGAUCGCCCACACUGGAACUGAGCCACGGUCAUGACUACUACGGGAGGCAGCAGUCGGGAAUCUUCCGCAAUGGGGGAAAGCCUGACGGAGCAACGCCGAGUGAGUGAUGACGGCGUCCGGUUCGUAAAACUCUCUUAUGAGUGAAGAACCUAUGUGUCAGUAAAUGUGGACAUCUUGACGGUACCUAAUAAGAAAGCACCGGCUAACUACGUG
rnacentral:rRNA from 1 species